GUUGUGCAGAUGAAUGGGUGUGGCUGGGUUCCAAUAAAACUUUAUUUGCACAAACAGGUGGUGGGCUGGCAUCUGGUCCUAGGGCCAUAGUUUGCCAAUCUCUAGAUUCUUGCCCCACCCCCACCCCCCACCAAAACAGUCAACGUUGAAUAGUGUCUGUCAGGCAUUGUUCUAAGCACAACAUAUAAAUGGCCUCCUUUAAUCUUCACUACCACUGACUCAGUGGUAAAGAAUUCGCCUGCAAUGCAGGAGAUGUGGGUUCGAUCCCUGGGUCGGGAAGAUCCCCUGGAGAAGGAAAUGGCAACCCACUCCAGUAUGCUUGCCUGGGAAAUCCUAUGGACAGAGAAGCCUGGAGGGCUGCAGUGCAUGGGGUCUCAAAAGAGUCGGGCGCGACUCAGCAACUAAGCACCCCCACCCUAUGAAAUAGAUGCUGUUACCGCCCCCUUUCAUGGACGAGGACAUUGAGGCCCAGAUAAGGAAGACUCUUGAAGCUAUCCCUGUGAGGCACGGGACCUUGAGAGCACUUCCCCGUGUGCGUGCCCGGCCGUGCCUUCUCUCACUGAGGGACAGAAGCCAACCUCGUUCUGUACUGGCCAGGCACCCUCUUCAUCCUCACCCUCACCUCCAGGCUCCAGCUACAUGCGCCUUUUCCCAGUUUCUGAGACCUGAGCCCCAGGGUGCCCCCCAGCUGGGAGCUCCGUAAACGCAGGGACCAGGAGCACUGGCGGCAUCGGCCACCGAGAGCUCGGGGCCUCCCCACUGUCUGCCACGGAGUCAUCCACACGCCACAGAUCUGCUCGGAAUGCAUGGAGCCGAGAAGCCCCAGAGAGAUUCUUUUUUGGCCCACUGAGACUGCAUAACCAUCUGCCAUAAAUUGAGACUAGUACGGCUUAUUUUGGUGAAUGCAGAAUUGGAUCCCAUUCUUUACUCUGUGGCUUGAUUCAACUUCCAGAUGGUUAAUCCACAUGAAGUAAUAGGAAUGCACCACAGCUCUGCUUAGCUGAAGAUGGAGACGUAAUAUUUAUUUGCUGAUGUGGAGGCCUCCGAACGCUGCCCUGUCGGGAUGUCGGUAUAAAACGCAGCGGCACAAAAAUGUCAGCUCGUCCACAGGAGCAACAGCGUUCCUCUGAGUUGCCAUGGGGGAUCCCCGAUGUCAUUUUUUUUUUCUUCUUCCCGGUCUGCCCUUGACCUAAUCUCAAGAGGUUUUGUUCUCUCCUGGGCUGUUUCUUAUC
ensembl:lncRNA